rnacentral:rRNA from 1 species
GGUCAGGCGGGUACCCGCU